ACUCAGUCAGUGGAGCAUGUGACUUUUGAUCUCAAGGUUGUGGGUUCAAGCCCCACAUUGGGUA
rfam:Canis lupus familiaris chromosome 38, whole genome shotgun sequence.